rnacentral:rRNA from 1 species
AGAGUUUGAUCCUGGCUCAGAACGAACGCUGGCGGCGUGCCUAACACAUGCAAGUCGCACGAGAAAGGUCUUCGGACCGAGUAAAGUGGCGGACGGGUGAGUAAUGCAUGGACAACCUGCCUUCGAGCGGGGGAUAACCUCGGGAAACCGGGGCUAAUACCGCAUGAUGAGUCGUGAGCUUCGGCUUGCGCCUCCAAAGCUGGCCUCUACCUGUAAGCUGGCACUUGAAGAGGGGUCCAUGUCCCAUUAGCUAGUUGGUGAGGUAACGGCUYACCAAGGCGACGAUGGGUAGCCGGCCUGAGAGGGUGAUCGGCCACACUGGGACUGAGACACGGCCCAGACUCCUACGGGAGGCAGCAGUGGGGAAUCUUGCGCAAUGGGCGAAAGCCUGACGCAGCGACGCCGCGUGGAGGAUGAAGGCCUUUGGGUUGUAAACUCCUGUCGGGUGGGAAGAAAGCCUUCCAGUGAAUAGCUGGAGGGGUUGACUGUACCACUAGAGGAAGCCCCGGCUAACUCCGUGCCAGCAGCCGCGGUAAUACGGAGGGGGCAAGCGUUGUUCGGAAUUAUUGGGCGUAAAGGGCGCGUAGGCGGCUGGUCAAGUCAGGUGUGAAAUCCCUCGGCUCAACCGAGGAAUUGCACUUGAAACUGACCGGCUUGAGUCCGGGAGGGGGUAGCGGAAUUCCCAGUGUAGCGGUGAAAUGCGUAGAUAUUGGGAAGAACACCAGUAGCGAAGGCGGCUACCUGGACCGGAACUGACGCUGAGGCGCGAAAGCCAGGGGAGCGAAUGGGAUUAGAUACCCCGGUAGUCCUGGCUGUAAACGAUGGGCACUUGGUGUGGCGGGUCUCACCCCCCGCCGUGCCGAAGCUAACGCUUUAAGUGCCCCGCCUGGGGAGUACGGUCGCAAGGCUGAAACUUAAAGGAAUUGACGGGGGCCCCGCACAGCG